rnacentral:rRNA from 1 species
ACAAACGACUCUCGGCAACGGAUAUCUCGGCCCUCGCAUCGAUGAAGAACGUAGCGAAAUGCGAUACCUGGUGUGAAUUGCAGAAUCCCGUGAACCAUCGAGUCUUUGAACGCAAGUUGCGCCUGAAGCCUUAUGGCUGAGGGCACGCCUGCCUGGGUGUCACUCA